GACGAACGCUGGCGGCGUGCUUAACACAUGCCAGUCGAACGGAAAGGCCUCUUUCGGGGGGUACUCGAGUGGCGAACGGGUGAGUAACACGUGAGUAACCUGCCCUUGACUUUGGGAUAACUUCAGGAAACUGGGGCUAAUACCGGAUAGGAGCUCCUGCUGCAUGGUGGGGGUUGGAAAGUUUCGGCGGUUGGGGAUGGACUCGCGGCUUAUCAGCUUGUUGGUGGGGUAGUGGCUUACCAAGGCUUUGACGGGUAGCCGGCCUGAGAGGGUGACCGGCCACAGUGGGACUGAGAUACGGCCCAGACUCCUACGGGAGGCAGCAGUGGGGAAUAUUGCACAAUGGGUGGAAGCCGGAUGCAGCAACGCCGUGUGCGGGAGGACGGCCUUCGGGUUGUAAACCGCUUUCGCUCAUGACGAAGCUUUGUGUGACGGUAGUGGGUAAAGAAGCACCGGCUAACUACGUG
rnacentral:rRNA from 1 species